GUUAUGCAGCAUAUUUUGCUGAAGCUUCCGGCAUUGUCUCACCUGGGUGGCCAACUGUGCAUUAUUCAACCUUUAAGUCUGGGAAACAGAGGAGACUAACUGGAAGCCAAAGCAAGGUUGUGAGCUGUGGGUAUCAUUUUAGAAGAUCUUUGCUCCGGGGUUAUUCAAAUUUUAUGAAGACUGGGGUGCCGCAACGUCUUAUGUUUUAUCAGAAUGGUGAAUGGACUGAUUUUUCUCAAGAUCUUGUUGCUUUGGUUAGGAAGGAUCUUCAAGAGAAGAAACCGGCUAUUGAGGUUGAGUUAGAGGGACAUCACUACUUGCUGGAUCUCUUGCAUAUGUUUCUAGUGGACAUGAAGACAGGUUUUCAGAAACCAAUUGCUUGGAUUGAUGAAGAAGGUGGCUGUUUCUUUCCCGAAAUUUAUAUUGAUAAUGAGGAGCCACAUGAGUCCUUCCAGCAUAAUUGUGCGAAUGACCAAGGGCCUAUUUUUAGAGAGCCUAAUGGACCUCAGGAGAUAAAGCUGCAGCUGGAAAUUGACAUAAAUGGACUGGAUCAACAUCAAUCCAAGUUAGAGUGUAGUGGAGAGUCAAAUGCUUUUGUAAAGCAUAUUGCAAUUGCUCAAAAUCCUAGAAGUGUGAACGCUGUAGAAGUUGAGGAUAGUUGCAACAGGAAGCCUGAUGAAAAAAUUAAUGAAGCUUUUGAGGAAAAUCAACAUAUUAAAGCAAAUGUAUCCACUGGAAUUGAAUCUGUUAAUGAAAAGCUGGAUUCUAAUACUGUACAAAAUAUGUUUCUUACAGGCAUGAAGUCUUUUAGUAGUGUUGACUCACUUGAUAUUUGUCGCUGCUCUAGUACUUCAAUGCAAGCCCGAUUGGAGAUUUUCCAGAAGCAGAUUGAACUAACAAAAA
rnacentral:misc_RNA from 1 species